CCACUUGACAACGACGAGCUCAUCUCCUACAUUGUGGUUGGCCUCAACAUGGAUUACCAGCCGCUCGUCUCCGCCCUCGACGCACGCGCCGAACCUGUCACCCUUGACAAAUUGUUUUCUCAGAUGGGCAACUUUGAUC
rfam:Hordeum vulgare subsp. vulgare, WGS project CAJW01000000 data, contig: morex_contig_160408